rnacentral:rRNA from 1 species
AUGACAGGAAUUCCGUCUCGCUAUGCAUCCCUGGAAGAAGGUUUCAGUGAGCAUAAUCCAAGCACCGGAGUGUUGGCUGACGAAGAUGAUGGCGACUCGGAUGUGCACGACGGAUCUGACAUAAUGUAUGCUAUCGAGGAAGUUGAAUCCGCCGAGGAAAAUGAUAGCAGCAGAGGAGCAACGCGACGGCGUACGCAAGUGCAGCAUUUCUCAAGGGAAGUGGAAGUGAUGUCAACGCCCACCCAUGUCAAUCUUGCUAAGCUCCUCUACUAUUGCCGGGAUGGAGAGGAGUGGAUACUAGUCUACGAGUGGAUGGAGAAAAAAAGUUUGAAUCUUUACAUAUUUGGAGAAGACGGACUCCGCUCCUCACUGAGUUGGGCACAAAGACGGGAAAUAAUUCGAGGUGUCGCCGUAGGUGUUGAAUUUCUUCACGGCAGAGGAUUCAUUCACAGGGAUCUAAAACCUGCCAACAUACUGGUCAGUGACGUGGGUUCCAAAGAUAGCGGACUUCGCCACCGCGAAGCUGUUUAUUGA